rnacentral:rRNA from 1 species
UACGAAGGGUGCAAGCGUUAAUCGGAAUUACUGGGCGUAAAGCGUGCGCAGGCGGUUGUGCCAGACAGAUGUGAAAUCCCCGGGCUCAACCUGGGAACUGCAUUUGUGACUGCACGGCUGGAGUGCGGCAGAGGGGGAUGGAAUUCCGCGUGUAGCAGUGAAAUGCGUAGAUAUGCGGAGGAACACCGAUGGCGAAGGCAAUCCCCUGGGCCUGCACUGACGCUCAUGCACGAAAGCGUGGGGAGCAAACAGG